rnacentral:rRNA from 1 species
UACGUAGGGUGCAAGCGUUAAUCGGAAUUACUGGGCGUAAAGCGCGCGUAGGUGGUUCGUUAAGUUGGAUGUGAAAUCCCCGGGCUCAACCUGGGAACUGCAUCCAAAACUGGCGAGCUAGAGUAUGGUAGAGGGUGGUGGAAUUUCCUGUGUAACGGUGAAAUGCGUAGAUAUAGGAAGGAACACCAGUGGCGAAGGCGACCACCUGGACUGAUACUGACACUGAGGUGCGAAAGCGUGGGGAGCAAACAGG